rnacentral:lncRNA from 1 species
CCCAAUCUAAGAGACCCAAUAAUGACCCACCUUCAGAAAGGAUACAAAUUCCCAAGGCUAUUUUAUCUAGCACAUCAAUAUCCACGUUUGUUACCCUCAAGGCUGCCAAGGAUACCAAACACUCUCACUCUGCCCUUUGCCUCUUCUCUCUCUAUAGCAAGAAGCUUAGAUCCCGAAACUUGCCUUUGAGAUCAAAUCUUGUUUCUCUCUAACCAAUCGGAGUUGUUUAGGCUUGCCGUUUAAUUUUGGUACCUUUGGAAUGGCUGCUGUGUUUGGGGUCUGCGGUGUCUCUGAUCAUAUUGUUGAUGUCAAUUGUUGUGGAUUGGGUUCAAGGUCAUUCAGAAUGCUUUAAUUUUGCUAUCUCACAAAGGAUAUUGAUGGAAUUGUGGAUGCGCUGGCGAAAGAGGAAAUGUAUUUUCCUUCUAUUUUGAGCCAGGAGGUGAAAUUUCAAUUUUAUUUGUUGUCUUUGUUUGCUGGUUUUGUGUUUUAGGGAGGCGUUUAAAGCAAAACUAAUACAUUAAUAAGGAGGGAUUGCAGAUGCGCUGGCGAAAGAUGGAAUGUAUUUACUGGUUCUAUUCUGAGCCCGGUGGUAGAAUUUCGGCUUUAUCUGUUGUCUUUGUUUGCUAGUUGUGUUUUGGCGAGGCAUUUUUCUUGUAUCUUGUUUCAAGAUUUUGUCUUAGUUUUAUUUUGUGUUUUUGUUUUUCUUUUACUUCUGGUGUUGUAUUUUGUUUUGGAGUGGGAUUUUGCCCUUGUGUUUGGUCUCUCUUUUGCCACUGAUUCAGUGGCAUUUUAUUAAUAAAAUCUAUUUUUGCUGAGAAAAAGAAAAAUCCUUGGACAACACGGUGAUGAAAAAUGAUAUAGUCCUUGUACAGCCUAAUUUUGCCUAAGGCCCAGGCUGACCCAAUAACCCACCUAAACACUAACCCAUACCAGCAGACCCAAUUACAAGGCCCAGUGGCCCAAAAUUUUAAAAUCAUUUCAGAAACCCUAAUCCCCCUAAUCCUAGCCGCCUCUUUUGAUCUUUCUGCUACUGCUGCCGCCGUCACCUACCUUCUGCCACCGCCACUAUUUCGCCCACUUGCACCACCUGCUCCACCUGCAAAACAAAGGAGAACACGCAAGCAAAGAAGGA